GGAAUGAGACGGAAUUCACGACACAAGCGGUUCACAAAAUGUGUUAGGCUAUAAAAAUUGAUUUUAUCAAUCAAAAGACUAUUCAUUGUGUAACAAUGAGCAUUAGAAUUGCAAACAGAAGAAGAUCGUCAAAGUUAUGUCAACUGGCUGAGGAAGCAGAUGACCCGGAAUCCUGGGGACCCCAUGGAAGCUGCCCUGAAUGACAUUAAGCGCCGCGACAAGAAGGCAGAUGCACCCCCUCCCCCAACAGCCUUAAAGACCCGGCCAGGUCCACUUGGUCGAGCGGUCGCAGCAUUUCUGGGGCAGCGAUCAGUGCCCCCGGGCAAACUGCAGUCGACGGUGAAGAAGAUCUUGGCCCCGAAGUCUGCAGUUCCAAGGCUGUCUGCUUCCCGAACAGCUCUGCAAUUGGCUCUAAAAUCCGCAGAUACCUCAUAUGCAGAGUUGGUCGUUAUUGCUGUAGAAGUUGAAAAGUAUAAGUUAAUUACUGCAAUACUGAUAUUUUUAAAUCAAGUUUUGGAUUCUGACGGACAUAACCUUUUAUGUAAUGUAACCUCUUUUUUUUUGUCUUGUAAUAUUCCUCAGACAAAGGAAGGUACAUUGGGUAAGGUAGGUUUGGGUGAGAAACCUACCUUGUGUAUCAUGAAGCAUGAAUGCUUCUUAAUGCUUCUUACUGUAGCCGUCACCCAUUCAUCCUGCUGCUUGGCUGUAGAUUUCCUGCUGUCAUGGAGCUGAUAUCCCCCCCAUUCAUCCUGCUGCUUGGCUGUAGAUUUCCUGCUGUCAUGGUGCUGGUAUCCCCCCGAUUCAUUCAUCCUGCUGCUUGGCUGUAGAUUUCCUGCUGUCAUGGUGCUGGUAUCCCCCCCAUUCAUUCAUCCUGCUGCUUGGCUGUAGAUUUCCUGCUGUCAUGGUGUCACAUCCUGCUGCUUGGCUGUAGAUUUCCUGCUGUCAUGGUGCUGGUAUCCCCACCAUUCAUUCAUCCUGCUGCUUGGCUGUAGAUUUCCUGCUGUCAUGGUGCCGGUAUCCCCCCCAUUCAUUCAUCCUGCUGCUUGGCUGUAGAUUUCCUGCUGUCAUGGUGCUGGUAUCCCCCCCAUUCAUUCAUCCUGCUGCUUGGCUGUAGAUUUCCUGCUGUCUUGGUGCUGGUAUCCCCCCCAUUCAUUCAUCCUGCUGCUUUGCUGUAGAUUUCCUGCUGUCAUGGUGCUGGUAUCCCCCCCAUUCAUUCAGGCUGCUGCUUGGCUGUAGAUUUCACGUCAUGGUGCUGGUAUCCCCCUCCAUUCUUUAUAAAAAAAAUGUUUACCCCUUUUUCUCCCCAAUUUCGUGGUAUCCAAUUGUUGUAGUAGAUACUAUCUUGUCUCAUCGCUACAACUCCCGUACGGGCUCGGGAGAGACGAAGGUUGAA